AUCGAACGCUGGCGGCAGGCCUAACACAUGCAAGUCGAGCGGGGUUUUCGGACCUAGCGGCGGACGGGUGAGUAAUGCGUAGGAAGCUACCCGAUAGAGGGGGAUACCAGUUGGAAACGACUGUUAAUACCGCAUAAUGUCUACGGACCAAAGUGUGGGACCUUCGGGCCACAUGCUAUCGGAUGCGCCUACGUGGGAUUAGCUAGUUGGUGGGGUAAUGGCUCACCAAGGCGACGAUCCCUAGCUGGUUUGAGAGGAUGAUCAGCCACACUGGAACUGCGACACGGUCCAGACUCCUACGGGAGGCAGCAGUGGGGAAUAUUGGACAAUGGGCGCAAGCCUGAUCCAGCCAUGCCGCGUGUGUGAAGAAGGCCUUCGGGUUGUAAAGCACUUUCAGUAGGGAGGAAGCGUUGUGUGUUAAUAGUACACAGCGUUGACGUUACCUACAGAAGAAGCACCGGCUAACUCUGUGCCAGCCGCCGCGGUAAAAC
rnacentral:rRNA from 1 species